CCCUUCCCGGGACCCCCAGCAGGUGGCGUGCCCCUCCCGAAUCUGCAGUCCCUGAGGAGGAGGAAGAGGCAGAGCAAUGACGAGGAGGAGGAGGACGACCCCUUCGCGCUGUCCAGGGCCGAGGAGGCUGCCUUUGCACUCUCCAGUCUUGGCACUCUGCUGGUGUGAACGGCUUAACCCAUCAGCACCAGCACGAACGACCAGCACCACCAGCACUCCACGCACGACCACGGACCACGAACGGGAACCACCCCAAGGAAGGCCACUUACUGCAGUCCCCCUCUCGACGGCCUCACUCAGCAACCCGUUUUCUUUCGCUCUCUAUGCUCCUAGAUAACGUAGAAGCCUGUACGUUCUAGCCAUGACAUAAUUCUCUCUCUCUCACCUCAGGACAAAAUCAAUGCAAACCGUCACAAACCACAACGUACAAAUUAACGAACACAGGUAGACUCUCACCUGUGCAUUUUGUUCCGCAUCACCUCACACUCAGGAUUAAGCAAAACCCUAAACUCAGGUAGACAGGCAGGUAAUCAUAAGCUUUCCACUAUAUACCUCAUUAACAACACCAUUAUCCUCCCUUCUCUCCCCUCUCCCUUCCUCCCUCCAUCUUCCCUUGGCCACACCUGCGCUUGGAACGACCCCUAACCCCAGGUGCUAACUUGGGAAGGUGGUUUGACGAGACGUACGAUGCCAACACGAAGUUAUUUAGAGGUCUAGAGUCCACGGGCACCAUUGUGUUGAACCAAGUCGACGCUAUGUUGGAGGAGGAGAAGGACUUUGGACGAUAAGGAGGAGGAGGAGGAGGAUUAGUUUGUUGAUUUUUAGGUUAUCUCUUACAGUCUCAUUUCCUUCUUUAUUCGCUCGUUAAUAAAAAAGGAGGAAUUGGAGGAGUAAAAGAAAUAUAAGGUAAGAGAUGAAUACAGAGGAGGAAAAGAUGGAUGCACAGUUUGUAAUAAGAAUGUAAGUUACCUUCAUUCCAUUUAUUCAUGUAUAGUUUUCAGACAGUGGGGAAAUUUAUCCAUUCAGUAGUUUUGAUAAGAUUCUAAACAUUCUUUUAUCUUAAUGUUUCGGUCCCUUUAUGUCCGCGAAAAUAAUAUCUUAGUCAUCCCUCUUCCUCACACAAAAAAAGUUCGCAAGACGAUGAAGUCAAUUUCAACAAACAAUCUUCUCCUUUUUUUCUUGAUAUCAUUACUCUUAGAAACUAUUUAUUCAUCAAAUGCCUCGUUUUUCUUAUUUUUCUCUUCAAAGUAUUUUCUCUGUUUAUCAUUUCUUUUUCAUUUCAAACACUUCGAUCAUAUCAAUGUAAAAGGAACGAUUGUCCCAUUUCGUUCCGAGCCAAUAGACGAUAGAAUGCUUAUGUUUUCUGUACUGUGUUAUUGUUUUCUUUAAAGUUUAUGUUGCUUAUUAAUAUUCAGUCAACACAUUAUCUUACUUAUACUUUUGUUGAAAGGUAUAUCCAUGUUCUAUCUGUGCUUCUUCAGUGUUAUUCUAAUACGUAGUUAUUAAGACUUUUUUGUACAAUUAAAAUAAGAAUAAAAUGUUGUAUGUUGA